UGUACACACCGCCCGUCACACCACGAAAGUCAUUCACACCCGAAGCCGGUGAGGUAACCUUUUGGAGCCAGCCGUCGAAGGUGGGGGCGAUGAUUGGGGUGAAGUCGUAACAAGGUAGCCGUAUCGGAAGGUGCGGCUGGAUCACCUCCUUUCUAGGGAAAACCUAAGAAGUCGGCACUUUGGCAAUUCAUUCAUUGUUCAGUUAUGAGAGGCCAUCCUCUCAAUCGUACCUUGACAACUGCAUAAAAAUGUUAGAAAUACCUCUUUUUAAAAAGAGAUCUUAACGAACCUUGAAUUCUUGUUUAUAGAAAUUAGUCAAGUAAGUAAGGGCGUACGGCGGAUGCCUUGGCCAUAUCAGCCGAAGAAGGACGCGAUAAGCUGCGAUAAGCUGCGGUGAGGUGCAAGUAACCUUUGACCCGCAGGUCUCCGAAUGGGGAAACCCA
rnacentral:misc_RNA from 1 species